rnacentral:rRNA from 1 species
CAGCAGCCGCGGGAAUACAGAGGGUGCAAGCGUUAAUCGGAAUUACUGGGCGUAAAGCGCGCGUAGGUGGUUUGUUAAGUUGGAUGUGAAAGCCCCGGGCUCAACCUGGGAACUGCAUCCAAAACUGGCAAGCUAGAGUACGGUAGAGGGUGGUGGAAUUUCCUGUGUAGCGGUGAAAUGCGUAGAUAUAGGAAGGAACACCAGUGGCGAAGGCGACCACCUGGACUGAUGCUGACACUGAGGUGCGAAAGCGUGGGGAGCAAACAGGAUUAGAUACCCGAGUAGUCCCUGUCUCUUAUAA